UCAAUAAGCGGAGGAAAAGAAACCAACAGGGAUUGCCUCAGUAACGGCGAGUGAAGCGGCAAAAGCUCAAAUUUGAAAUCUGGCGCUUCCGGUGUCCGAGUUGUAAUUUGGAGAGGCAUCUUCUGGGGGGACCCGGCCUAUCUUCCUUGGAACAGGAGGUCACAGAGGGUGAGAAUCCCGUCCUUGGCUGGAUGUUCCCCCCUGUACGUAGUGUCUUCUACGAGUCGAGUUGUUUGGGAAUGCAGCUCAAAAUGGGUGGUAAAUUUCAUCUAAAGCUAAAUACUGGCGAGAGACCGAUAGCGCACAAGUAGAGUGAUCGAAAGAUGAAAAGCACUUUGAAAAUAGAGUCAAAAAGUACGUGAAAUUGUUGAAAGGGAAGCGCUGGAGACCAGACUCGGCCCCGGAUGAACAAGCCGCCUUCUGGCGGUUGCACUUGUCCUGGGCCGGGCCAGCAUCAGUUGGGGCGGUGGGAUAAAGGCGCGCGGAAUGUGGCUCCCCUCGGGGAGUGUUAUAGCCGCGGGUGCAAUGCCGCCUGCCCCGACUGUGGACCGCGCUUUGGCUAGGAUGCUGGCGUAAUGGUUUUCAGCGACCCGUCUUGAAACACGGACCAAGGAGUCUAACAUCUAUGCAAGUGUUUGGGCCUCAAACCCUCACGCGUAAUGAAAGUGAACGGAGGUGGGAACCCCGCGAGGGACGCACCAUCGACCGAUCCUGAUGUCUUCGGAUGGAUUUGAGUAGGAGCAUAGCUGUUGGGACCCGAAAGAUGGUGAACUAUGCCUGAAUAGGGUGAAGCCAGAGGAAACUCUGGUGGAGGCUCGCAGCGGUUCUGACGUGCAAAUCGAUCGUCAAAUUUGGGUAUAGGGGCGAAAGACUAAUCGAACCAUCUAGUAGCUGGGU
rnacentral:rRNA from 1 species